CUUCCUGCGCGAACCUGGGAGACCAGCAGGCACCUGGUCUCGUCCCGCUGGGUCCCCUCCGCACCCAAGACUGUCUUCCCAAGUGGCUUACUCCACAGAAGGAAUGUCGUCAGCUGAUUAUAUCUGAUUAGCAUCCAGUUCCGACGACUCAUCCCUUAAAACGGAUGUGGUCUCAUUAGGUUGCCCAAGCUGGACUUGUACUCUUGGCCUCAAGAGGUCCUUCCAUCUCAGUCUCCCAAGUAGCUGGGACUACAAGCAUGCACCACUACACUCAGCCAAAUACUUUCAAUAAUUUGCCAGCUGACAACUUGAUUGGGUUCUCCUUCAGGUUUGAAGCGCCCUCGAGAAGUGUCUAAAGGAGACAGUUGAUAGCCAAACAACAGUUUUGGAUUCACUGACUGAUUAUGAAAGAAGCAGUAGACUGGUAUCAAGAAUCAGUCAGCAAGGAGGCCCUCACCAGACGCCAGUGCCAUGUUCUUGGACUUCUCAGCCUCCAUAUUCAUGAACUAAGUUUUUGGAAUCCUUAGGCUUCCACGUGUGGAAAGCCUGAGCUAACCUACUGGAGGAUGAGCCAUCACCUGGAGCAGAUUCAGGCCAUCCUAGUUGAAGCCUCCCUAGGCCAAGCAACCGUCCAACUACCAGACAUUGACCAUUCAGCCUUGAACAUUCAGCACAAAGACAAAACAGACCAGACCAGAAGAGUCCCACAGAAUAGGGGAAACUAUUCAGAGAAAACUUAAGCCACUAAGUUUUAUGGUGUUUUGUUCUGUAGCAGAAGCAUAGGCAUACUGACAAUACAAACCGAAAUCCUUCUAACGUAGUGGACCUUUUCAGGCCAGCAUUUUUUCCUUGAAAACCUGGAGCAUGUAUCCAUCUUAUAGCAGAGAUCACUUUCACAAUGUUUGGGCUCUUGAUUUGAAUUGAUGAUGUAAUGAGCCCUCUAUCCAGAUUGUAACUAAUUACUCUGCGAAUUGACUGGAUUCCACACCCUUCUAAUAUUUUACUUUUCCUCUUUUAUCAACUCUCAUUCUUGCUGCCAUGAUCAAUGGACCAACUAUGCUUAUAACCACAAAUUUUGAUAUGCUUAAACAAAUGAACAAAUAUAUUUAAUAAUUUCUUUUUUUUUUUUGAAAUAGUAUCUUGCUCUGUCACCCAGGCUGCAGUGCAGCAGCGUGAUCUCAGCUCACUAUAACCUCCACCUCCCGGGUUCAAGUGAUUCUCCUGCCUCAGCCUCCCAAGUAGCUGGGACUACAGGCGCCCACCACCAUACCUGGCUAAUUUUUUGUA
rnacentral:lncRNA from 1 species